rnacentral:pre_miRNA from 1 species
UAUUAAAAAUUGUAUCCAUUUUUACUAUUAAAAACUAACGUGGCUGAUGGAAUGACCAGAUAAUGAUAUUACCUCAUGCUAAUAUAUAAUGACCAGUUUUUAUCAAUAAAAAUAAAUGAAAUUUUUAACA